rnacentral:rRNA from 1 species
UACGUAGGGUGCAAGCGUUAAUCGGAAUUACUGGGCGUAAAGGGCUCGUAGGCGGCCAACUAAGUCAGACGUGAAAUCCCUCAGCUUAACUGGGGAACUGCGUCUGAUACUGGAUGGCUUGGAUCCGGGAGAGGGAUGCGGAAUUCCAGGUGUAGCGGUGAAAUGCGUAGAUAUCUGGAGGAACACCGGUGGCGAAGGCGGCAUCCUGGACCGGUAUUGACGCUGAGGAGCGAAAGCCAGGGGAGCAAACGGG